GGUGCAUGCUGGGCAAACUGUGUUUUAGUGAGCCUUGUGCUUACUAAUCAUAGGAAGGCAGGUUGCUAAAUGAUAGAUAGCUCUAUCAAGUAAUGUAUAAUGGUUUUGGCUUGCCGCCUAUCAUGCAGCAUUAUUCAUCCAACAUAUUGUUCUUCAUUCAACAGUCUCCAUAUGGAAACUGCUGUGAGAACUGUGGUUUUGUAGUAGAUU
rnacentral:rRNA from 1 species